AGCGAGAUAUAGCUUUAAUGUCGUAUAAUCUUGGGGAUAAGGCCCAAAAGUUUCUACCGAGCUACCGUAAAUGGCUUGACUACGAGAAAGUAAUACAUGUAU
rnacentral:ncRNA from 3 species